AUCAGCCUUUUGAGCGUGAUUAAGUGGAGCGUGAGGAGUUAAACGCCUUCAUGCCUUCAUAUUCGUGCACUUUGGGUGUACUUGCUCGUGUGGUAGGUUAACAUCAAUUUCGAUCAUCAUAAAAUGGUUGGAGGAAUGUAGCUUCGAUCUCGUAUUGAAGUGUUAUAGCCUUUAGCAGAUGUGAUGAUUGGGAUUGAGGAUUGCAACGGAUACCCUUCGGGGCUACCCGUCUGAUCUCUGAAAGUUACUCUGGUGCCGAAAGCUUGCUUACGGUAUCAAAGUUAACGUCCAACAGGUUAGAACGGGUUAAAUUCGUUAAGGAUGUUGACGUAAUGGCUUU
rnacentral:rRNA from 1 species